GGGCGCUUGGUCUAGGGGUAUGAUAUCUUCUUCGCAUGGAGAUGGUCGUGGGUUCAAUUCCCACAGCGUCCA
rnacentral:tRNA from 1 species